AUUGAACGCUGGCGGCAUGCUUUACACAUGCAAGUCGAACGGCAGCGGGGUAGUGCUUGCACUACUGUCCGGCGAGUGGCGAACGGGUGAGUAAUAUAUCGGAACGUACCGAGUAAUGGGGGAUAACCAAUCGAAAGAUUGGCUAAUACCGCAUACGUCCUAAGGGAGAAAGCGGGGGAUCGCAAGACCUCGCGUUAUUCGAGCGGCCGAUAACUGAUUAGCUAGUUGGUGGGGUAAAGGCCUACCAAGGCGACGAUCAGUAGCGGGUCUGAGAGGACGAUCCGCCACACUGGGACUGAGACACGGCCCAGACUCCUACGGGAGGCAGCAGUGGGGAAUUUUGGACAAUGGGGGCAACCCUGAUCCAGCCAUGCCGCGUGUAUGAAGAAGGCCUUCGGGUUGUAAAGUACUUUUGUUAGGGAAGAAAAGGGAAGUGCUAAUACCACUUUUUGCUGACGGUACCUAAAGAAUAAGCACCGGCUAACUACGUGCCAGCAGCCGCGGUAAUACGUAGGGUGCGAGCGUUAAUCGGAAUUACUGGGCGUAAAGCGAGCGCAGACGGUUAUUUAAGCAGGAUGUGAAAUCCCCGGGCUUAACCUGGGAACUGCGUUCUGAACUGGAUAGCUAGAGUGUGUCAGAGGGGGGUAGAAUUCCACGUGUAGCAGUGAAAUGCGUAGAGAUGUGGAGGAAUACCGAUGGCGAAGGCAGCCCCCUGGGAUAACACUGACGUUCAUGCUCGAAAGCGUGGGUAGCAAACAGG
rnacentral:rRNA from 1 species